rnacentral:lncRNA from 1 species
CAAAACUAUCCAGUACAAGAAAUCUUCAAAACAUAAAUGUCUAGAAGCUAUGUCAGAACUAUCACCCAUGAGAAAACAACUGAAGCCAUUUUUUUGCUGUGGCUGCUGUCAUUGUGUGAUAUGGAGCAAUAUGUGUCUAUUUGUACAGUGCUGCAAAACCUUUAACCCUUUGGAAGCAUUUCCACCACAAGAGGAGAUUCAUCUGCCUUUCUACUCUCAAGCCAGUGAGCCACAAAAUGUUGAUUCCUGAGAAUUUCAUCUCUGAGAGUGUGGAAACUCAAGAGACUUCAGUAGGUCCAUUAAGGAUUUCACCGUUUUUGAGUCUUUGUGGGAAUUUAUUCCCUGACAUUUAGAUGUGACACAUGAGAUUUUGAAAAAAGGAAACAAGGCAAGAUUUGUAGGAAGAGGCAGUAUGUCUUAUUAAAUUAGAUUAGUCUUUAGGUCAGAAAACCCUCACUCUUGUCUGUCUUGUAAAUUUUUAAUUAUUAUUUUAAUUUCAAUUAUCAAUUAUCCUGCUUUUUAUCAAUUUGAAAAAAAGAGAAAGAAUACUUACAAAUCACAUCUCAUUACUUUAAGAGGAAACAGUACAAAAUUAUUACAUAGUUAGAACCGUGCUUCUCAUCUGCAUUUAGUCUUAAAUCUAGAAUUGGUAAAAUUUCUUUCUUUUUAGCUCUGAAGAAUGAAAUAGUUUUCAUGUCAGGGAGAAGCAUUUUACAUUUCUAUGUGCAUGCUCUGGCUAAUGCAUCUCCAUGUGAAAUACUGUGGGGGAAAAAAAAAAAGAAAAAAAAGUGGUUGUUUGGAAGUACAGAAUGAGAAGAAGGGUCUGAGGUCAGUCCCAAGAAAAGCCAUCUCUGUCAGUGUGGACACUCAUACACUAGGAAAUGAGUAGGAGUAAUGUUUCACUUCUUAGCAGCUCAGUGAUAGCAUUUUUCUUUUGAAGCAACCUGGACAGCUCUGGUCCUUUGAUCAGAUCUUUCCUGCCCAGAAUUUGGAUACGUUUUCUGUCAAAAUACAGUUGCAGGUAGCCCUAGGAGAUGUCAACUUCCCAUGUAAAUUAUGCAUAACAUUUGAUUUCCUCCUUGGACUUUAUUGUAAGACUAACAAAACCUUCACAAUCCCCAUACAAAUAUUAGUUUCAGUGUCUUGGGCCAGAUUCUUUUACAUAAUAUUUAGGCACAGUUCUGCCUUUUAAAAAGCUUCCAUGUAGAGAAAUUAAGACUGCUCACAGAGCUUUCAAUCAGAGAAAGUCCAGUUAGAGGGAGUCUUAGGGACCUGACUAAUAAUUAAUGAACCAGACAAUUAAGGGAUUGCAAUUGUAAUAGUGUGGGGUGGAAAAAAUAAAAAAAUAAAAAAGCAAGCCA